UGUCGGGAUAGCUCAGC
rnacentral:tRNA from 1 species